CCCUUAGAUGUCCUGGGCUGCACGCGCGCUACACUGAUGUGUCCAGUAAGCACCUAACCUCUUCCGAAGGGAACGGGUAACCUUAGCAAAGCACAUCGUGAUGGGGAUAGAUUAUUGCAAUUAUUAGUCUUGAACGAGGAAUUCCUAGUAAGCACAAGUCAUCAGCUUGUGUUGAUUACGUCCCUGCCCUUUGUACACACCGCCCGUCGCUCCUACCGAUUGAAUGUUCCGGUGAAUACUUCGGACUGCGAGGUCUGCAGUUUCUGCGUUCCUUGCGGAAAGUUGAAUAAACCUUAACAUUUAGAGGAAGGAGAAGUCGUANCA
rnacentral:rRNA from 1 species